AACCACUCUUAUCUCCAUAAAUUCUUAUUGGGCUUUCUGGGUCUUGAUAGGAAUCCUCAGAUUUCCUUAUCUACCUUCCUUUUUUGGCUGAUCUUCUUCAUCUUCUCCUCCUUAAAAGCUUUUCUGGGGUUUUGCCUGCUGUUUGGGUUUGCGGUGUUUGCUCACAAAAUCUCAGAUUUCUGUGCUUCCUCUCUUUACCUAAAGAGGCUUUCUGGGUAGCCUAUUUGAAAUGGUGAGAGGAAAGACUCAAAUGAAGCGCAUAGAGAACGCCACAAGCAGGCAAG
rnacentral:misc_RNA from 1 species